rfam:Salmo salar isolate Sally breed double haploid chromosome ssa23, whole genome shotgun sequence.
UGCAGACAUUACUGUAAAUCGCUUUGGAUAAAAGUGUCUGCUAAAUGGCAUUUA